GUGAUUCUGAUGUCUACUAAAGUUUGAGAAACAGUGUGUAGAUAAUAGGAAUUUGGGUUCUAUAGUCAGGCUUCCUUUUUGAGCAGGCAGCUUAAGCUCACUGCACCUGGUUUUCACAUCUGUAGAGUGGGAAUAACGAUAAUACUUAGAUUAUAAAGUUAGAGUAAUCCAUGUUGGCUAUUCUGUGCUGCUGGAGCUGGAUCAGGGAGUUGACCCUGAGAUUAUAGUGGGAGAAGCUGAGGUUCAAAUGCCAGGAGAGCAUGGGUAGGUGCUAAAUCUGGAGGUGUCGAAGAUAGGGAUAGAAGCAAGGUUUAUGAUAAGUGAGACAAGAGUGAGAGAAAGCAGUUUGGGAUCAGCUGGGGAAAGGGAGUGCCCUGAGAACUUGCCCUAGUGGGCCAGUGGGAGUUUGAGUUAUGAGAAGGAGUUAAUUUUAUGUCAUGAGCUGACUCAACACCUUCACCACUGCAUCCUAGAUGAAGACAGGUGGGGCUAACAGGAUGAAAUUCCAAGGGACCAAAGUCUGGAUAACUUCUUCCCCUGAGGCAGUAGAAGAAUCUGCUGAUGGAGAGACGGCAGAAUUGGAACCACAGGAGAGGGGUAUUUAUGACAAUCCACAGAGCAGAGCCCUCACCUUGUGGAGCAUGGUGGUCAACCUCAGUGGCCAGUGGAUGCCAGAUCUCUGUGAUGGGGACAUUGCCUUGAGUGGAUGGGUUCAUCAGGCACUGCAGAAACAAAUGUUAGGGGAUGCUUGGUGCUUCCUACAUGAAUCCUUCGCUUUGUGACAUUGGUGACAUCAAGAGCACUAAUGAUGCAGUAUUGCCUGGAACAGUGCUCCAUUCUUGCCUUUCAGAUGUUCCUUGAAGCCCCUGCCACACUGCAUGUGGGUGCACAUGCUUUGAUGUGCUCCUGCGGGCCGGGACAACGCCUUGGUGACUGCCACAUGGCAGAUGGUGACGGAAGGAUACAUCCUCAUUUCAGAGAUGUUACAGUGUGGAAAAAAAUAGACAUUUCAGAAUCAAGGAAAUACAAACAUAUUUUAUAGAUAUAUGCACACACACAGACAUUUUUUGAGUAGUGUGGUUUUUUUCUUUUUACUAAGAUGGUAUCAUAUUAUAUACACUUUCCUACAUUUUGUUUUUUUCACUCAUGCUAUGUAGAACUCUCUUCAAGUCACUCGGCAUAGCUCUUUUUCAUUCUUUUAGGUAGCCGUACGCUAUUUUAUGGUGUAGAUGUGUCACAAUGUAUUUAGCCAGUUUCCCAUUUAUGAACAUUCAUUUUGUUUGUAAAGGUUUUGCAACUACAAACAAUGCUGCAGUAAGUAUCCUUACAUGUCCUUAAAUAUUAGUGCUUUUAUCUCCCAUGAAUUACUCAAAGGAUACUGUUUAUUUUAACAUACUUUGUAAGAAAGCUUUCCAUAAAUGCUAGGAAACCUCCUUUUACCACCAGCAGUGUAUGAGAGUGCUCUGUUCCCCAUAACCUGCAUGUUCAUUUCGGGAGAAUUGACAUUUAAUAAUAAUAGGUCUUCUCAUCCAAGAGAGUGGUUAUCUUGUUUGUCUUUAAUAAUGUCUCUAGUUUUCCUCAAAUAGUUCUUGUGCAUUUCUUGUUAAAUGUAUUCCUCAGUAUUUCAUGGUUUUUGUUUCUCUAAAGAUG
ensembl:lncRNA